UACAGAGGCCUCGAGCGUUGUUCGGAAUUACUGGGCGUAAAGGGAAUGUAGGUGGUCGGAUAAGUCAGAUGUGAAAGCCCUGGGCUUAACCUGGGAAGUGCAUUUGAUACUGUUCGGCUGGAGUGCGUGAGAGGAAAGCGGAAUUUCUGGUGUAGGGGUGAAAUCCGUAGAUAUCAGAAGGACUACCGAUGGCGAAGGCAGCUUUCUGGCACGUAACUGACACUGAGAUUCGAAAGCUUGGGUAGCAAACAGG
rnacentral:rRNA from 1 species